GACGAACGCUGGCGGCGUGCUUAACACAUGCAAGUCGAACGGAAAGGCCCUGCUUUUGUGGGGUGCUCGAGUGGCGAACGGGUGAGUAACCCGUGAGUAACCUGCCCUUGACUUUGGGAUAACUUCAGGAAACUGGGGCUAAUACCGGAUAGGAGCUCCUGCUGCAUGGUGGGGGUUGGAAAGUUUCGGCGGUUGGGGAUGGACUCGCGGCUUAUCAGCUUGUUGGUGGGGUAGUGGCUUACCAAGGCUUUGACGGGUAGCCGGCAUGGGAGGGUGACCGGCCACAUUGGGACUGAGAGACGGCCCAGACUCCUACGGGAGGCAGCAGUGGGGAAUAUUGCACAAUGGGCGGAAGCCUGAUGCAGCAACGCCGCGUGCGGGAUGACGGCCUUCGGGUUGUAAACCGCUUUCGCCUGUGACGAAGCGUGAGUGACGGUAAUGGGUAAAGAAGCACCGGCUAACUACGUG
rnacentral:rRNA from 1 species